rnacentral:lncRNA from 1 species
UUGCACAAGCCCCCUGCUGGUCUUUGUCAAUUCAAAAAGUGGAGACAAUCAAGGUGUGAAGUUUCUCAGAAGAUUCAAGCAGCUGCUGAACCCUGCCCAGGUUUUUGACCUCAUGAAUGGAGGACCACACCUUGGCUUACGAUUAUUUCAGAAGUUUGACACCUUCCGGAUUCUGGUUUGUGGCGGGGAUGGCAGUGUUGGCUGGGUCCUCUCUGAAAUUGACAGCCUCAACCUUCACAAACAGGUACUACACAUAGGUGUUGAGAGGACACCCACUGUAAUGGACAAAUGGGAAAAUCACAUAGGUCAAGUGAGCUGUAAACACAACUUGGCAUCAGGCUCUGUGUGUGGGGGGGGAAUGAGGAUGGGAGCUGUAGUCCCCUAAGCUCCAGCUCUUUCCUGGGAGGUGAUGUGCCUAAUUGCUGGAUGCCUCUGUCUAGAGAGGAAAGGAAGAAAGAAUCUUCAACCUCCAAAGUUUGAGUUAUGGUUCAACUUAAUUGCCUAGUUUUUAACACUAAAAUAAAAUACAUUAUCCUG